rnacentral:lncRNA from 1 species
GCCAAACGAGUUUCUAUAUUAGGACAUAAGUCUUCAAACUUUCCAAUAGUAAAAAAGAUCUCUAAAAAGUGAGAAAAAUACGUUUUUAUACAUUCAGCAACGCGCUACGCGCCCCGGGUGCGCCCUGACAGUUUCCCCAGUGUGGAAAUGUGCCACAGGCGCAGCUGUUGCGCUUCAGAUGCACAACUUCUUCUAUUUGAUGUUUUCUGCCUUUUUCUCCUCUAUCGAGUCAGAAUUGGGUUCUGGUGUCUUCAUGAACGUUGUAGAUAUAUAUCUUAACUUUCAUUUGCACUUGGUUUGACUCCAAUUGGUUAUCUAAAACUCUGGAUAUGGCUGAAAUACUCCACAUAGGUCAUGUUGAUUUC